rnacentral:tRNA from 5 species
UGCGGGAUGGAGCAGUCUGGUAGCUCGUCGGGCUCAUAACCCGAAGGUCGUUGGUUCAAAUC